rnacentral:misc_RNA from 1 species
GAUGAAGAACGUAGCGAAACGCGAUACGUAAUGUGAAUUGCAGAAUUCAGUGAAUCAUCGAAUCUUUGAACGCACCUUGCGCCCCUCGGCAUUCCGAGGGGCAUGCCUGUUUGAGUGUCACGGAUCCUUCGAACCCCGCCGGUCUCCGACGAGCCGGCCGCCUGGGUUCGGUCCUGGGCGCUACGCCACCCCUCCGGGGCUGGCCCGCCACAAAAGCAUCAGCUGGGCCUCGCGGCGUGGGCGGGCUCCGAUCGGCGUGAUAAGUCAUCUGCCGAGAGGGUGCCCGUCCGUCCCGCGGAUCGCGGUCCGCUCCCAACCCCUCCCCGCGCGCCGUCCCCCCCCGGGGAGCGCGCGGGGACGUUUCGACGCUCUGGCCUCAAAUCAGGUAGGACCACCCGCUGAACUUAAGCAUAUCAAUAAGCGGAGGA